AGGAACGGCUUAAGGAGCCUGACAGAGGCCCGGGAGCUCCUCCUACUCUUAAGGAGGCUCGGAUGUGGAGCCCUUGCCCGCGCACGGAACCAGCGGGCCGGGCGCAGGGGCAGCCGUUUGCAUCCGGCUUGGCCACGGUCCUUUUUGUUUGGUUCUUCUUUUUUUUCCUUUCUUCUUCUUCUGUUUUAUUUAUUUAUUUGGUACUUUUAUUAAUUCUGCCUGGCCCUUAUCUGUGCUUUCGACUGAAUUCAAAAUUCAGUUUGUUUUCCGAGUUCCCCAUCUUUGCCGGAUCAUCACGGGGGUGGGGGGGGGGAAGGGGGGAAGAGAACCCAGAGAAUUUAAUGUGGAACUCUGAAACUUAAAAAAAAAAAAAAUCCAGGCACACACAAGAGGCAAAUGCUUUAGCUAGGGGGAUAUCGAUAUUUACCACCCUUUACAGCCCCCACCCAGCACCCUGGUCCCCAUUUACCGAUCUGGCAGGUAUGGCCCUGGAGCCAGGCAUUGUUGUCAUUUUCAAGACAGAAAUCCAAUAAGUCAAAUUAAUUUUUUUUUAAGAAGGAAAGUUUCUAACGGACUUUGAUGAAAGAAACAAUACAUUAAAAAUAUUUAGGGAUGUUGCGCAGUACCUUCUGGCCGCAGUCAGAACAGAAGAGGAAGGGUAUAACUUGGCAUCCUGCAAGGUUUCUAUUCAAGCGUAUGUUUCAGUCUCCCUGGGUUUAAGGGAAACCGCCGCCUACAGCAGCCUCUGCGAUCCAGGCGCGGGAGUUUGCGAACUACCUUAACUGCGGCGCAACGCAGCCUUCGACCACCAGAGGCACCGGGCGUCUGCAGCCUGUCAAAAACUGGCGCUUUUUUCCUCCCCUUUCCGUGGAGAGACUAUCAACUCCAUCUGUCACAAAACUUCAGGCUAAAUCUCCUCUGGUGAAGCCGAGGCAGCCGCGGUCCAGUACGCACAGCGUUCGGCUGUCCGUCUCUCCCCAGGGGCCCGAGCUGCCAAGUAAGAAGAUCAAGUCUGCUGUGUUGUAAGGACUCUCAAGCUCCAAGGAGACAUUACACGAAUACGGGUCCCAGUCCAUAGUUCCACCUGAGUCAGUCUUCAGUCAUCCCAGGCCAGCUGUCCGAUGUAUAGGAAACAGCAUCAGGGGCUGUUGACUUUAUGGAUCAGAAUCACCAUCAUGAGUGUGGGAAGUAGGACCUCAAGUUUCAGUAUCUUUACACAGACAUACAACAUAAACUGGAAACACUCCCAUCCAGAUUAACCCCUGGGCAGAUGGUAACUCAGCUCAAGUAACUCAAGUGGCUCUUGUCUGGCAUAUAGCAUAUGUAGACUCACCUACAGUGAGGGAAUUUCUUGCAUAGCAAUAAAGUCCAGUGUCUCCUGAAGAAGUGAAGAAACAUGAAAACUCCACAUAUCAAGGAUUCUAAUCUGCAAGCAUCUUACUGUGGAUGAAGUAUUCACUUGGCAAGGAAUUGUGUGAUGGCAAGGCAAGUGGAUUCAAUAUAUGCCUUUCCCCAGGGUGAGAGGCUCACAAAGCAAGAGGAAUGUCAUUUUUCAGUCAACAGAAAUAGAGCUUUUUGUCUGCAAUAGUAACUUGAACCAGGAAGUACUCUUCAGAAGUUGAUGCUCUUGACCAAGACUAUGGCUGAAGUGGAUACAAGGCUAUACCCUGAGCACUUCCUUUGGGAAGAAACAACAUGAAAUUCCUACCGUUUGAUCCUCUAUCUGUGGAGUGAAUAUCGAAGAGGUACAACAAGGCAGCUACUCACAUAGGAGGGGCUUUCAGAAGACUCCUAGCUUGUGCGGAUACAGAACUACAGAAGACAACAGUCAAGACAAGGGUAAAAUGAGCUGGAGAAAACCUAAAGGCAAUGGACUAGAUAACAUGAAUUAGGAGUUAAAGCCUCAGAGAUCCAAAUGGCUUUCCCAGUGAAAAAUUCAUUUAUCUUGACCUAAGACAGGAAAUGAGGAGGAGAAAGAAGUCAUCAAGCAGAAGAAAACUUAAACAUUUGAAGAGAGAAAGUCAAUGUGCUCCAGAUGCCUAUAGUGGAGACAUUUUGGGAAAAGUUCCAGAAGUUUGAUGGAGCUAGUGUGUAUCAGUGGAAUUGUGCCCUUCCUGCAGAGCCCUCUGGAGGGCCAAUAAACCCCAUUGCAGGUCACCAUGCUGGUUGGACUCUCAUGAAGAGGGAAAGGGAAUGGGUAGAGCCAUGGAGGAGGAGUGAUGUCUCCAGGAAUAAUUUUCAAGAACGUUUUAUGAUAGUGGGAUGAACGUCUUCAGUGGUGAUCAAAGAUAGAGAGCAAUUAACACUGAGAAGAAAGAUUCCUAAGUUUAGCAUAGUAAAAUUUGAUUUGGAAUUCCCAGCUUUGCUCCCAACUAUUUUAAGAGGUCCCUCCUGAUGCUGUCUAUCCCUAUUGUGAAAACUCAAGUUUUCCACAAAGUUACUAAUGUCUUACAUAUCACGGUGUUGUGCUCUUUAACUCCCAAGAUAAUUGUUCCUCUCAAAGCAAGGAAGUCACUGAUGGGAAUACAGUUAACUUUACUGGACAGCAAAUUUGCAUUUAUUCCUUCUGGGAGAAUUAGUCUGAGGCAGUAUAACUUGAAGGAUCUCUAUAAAGAGUAAACAUCGAUUGAGACUUGGCUCUUGUUUUCCUCAAUAAUCUAGAAAUAUGAUGGGCUGUAAGUGUCCUGCAAAUGUCCUUUCUCUCCCUAGAACCCAUGAACUCACUCUCCCCACCUCAGGCCAUCUGGUGUCUGCAUUAGACUUCCAUGUGGUUUUUCACUCACAAGACCAGGUCUGCACCCAGCCUCUCUCACGUCAGGAAUUUGAUCCUAGCAAUGCUUUGUCCAGCACUUCCGCUCCUUCUUUCACAUGUUUCUUGAAGCACCAUGAUUUCCCUGAAUAAUAAAAGCUUUUUUUCUCCUUAUCAUUUUUCUUCUAUAGAGCCUCCAGAUAUGAAAUCAAAUGUUGUACAUAAACUGUGUGCAUACUUUAUUUGUGUGUUUAUUAUUUAUUCAUAGGUAUUGGUUGUUGUUUGCAUCCAUGGCUUAGAUGUUCUUUGUUGAAAUAUUCUCUUUUUUUGUGUCAAUAAUGCCCAUGUUCAGUUGUAACCUAUUUAAAGGUAGAAAGGAUACUCUUUAGCAAGUAGUUUUCAAAAUGAAUCUCUCUCUCUCUCUCUCUCUCUCUGUGUCUAUAUAUAUAUAUAUUGUAUGUAUUUCAAAACACUCAAGUUUUAUUGUUCAGUGGUUUUUGUAAGUAUAAUUUGUUGAUGUUCAAAAUGUUUUUCUGCUCCAGUGCACAGUCACCAAGUAGACACUACACCAUCAUGAAUAACCCAUAGCUAAAACUGCAUUUGAUAACGAACCAUUGUUGCUGACAAUGAUGUUCACUCAUUGCCUGCUUUUUUGGUUCUUUUAAAAACUGCCUUCAAUUAUAAUAUGAUCUUUAAUACUGUUUUUAAUAAGUGAAAAACAAUUUAUAGUAACUGGCUUUCAGCAAUUUGGGAGGAAUCAUUUCAGAUAAAUAAAGUCAGAGAGCAGAAGAGGUGAAUUGUCUCUAUAGUUCUCUCAAAACUAGGAGUCAGUGAUAUUUACAAGGCAAGUGGGGAAGGCAUCCUUCUUUAUUUCCAGUGUUAUAACAUCUCACCGCAUGAUUUUUAGGGAUGUGGUGGGGCAGCCCUCUGUCACUCCCACUGCAGGGUUCCACUGAUAAGCUGUUUGGAGCAGACAAGACUGUGCUUAGAUUGGAUGUUUGAGACUGAGCCCGGUAGCAGAGUUGUAAAAUCGUGGAUGAGAAAGGCCGGUAGGAGACACAGUGUGUGGCUGAUAUUUGCCUCUUCCUGACCAAAUGCUGCUGCAUAUGGAUGAGCCUCUACAGAAACACAGUGUAUCUCAUGGGGUGGGGGUAGGGGUGUGGGUGUCAAUGGAAAGGUUGACAUGACUUUAGGGGACUCCAGGCGGCAAUUGCAUGGCCUGAGCAAUACCAAUGAAGGAGGCUUCCUUUGCUUCUGAGCUCUCCUCCAGAGAAGCUUCCACCAGAAUGGCAGUGACCAUGGUAGAGAGAUGCAUGUUUCCUUUGCUGGUGGAUGGUCUAGACCAUCAGACACACUUACCUGAUUGAGGCCCCCACUUCUCUUCCUGCAGGGUCUCUGCAUUACACUGGCCUGGCUCCAGACUUCCUGAAUCUGGCUACAACAAAAGCAACAGUCCCCCAAAAGGAGCCUUUUAGUCAAUGGUUUAAAUUCCUGGUUUUCUGUCCCUCAAGGGACAAUGAAAGGGGCCUGACCUCUUGCUCAUGUCAAGAAGGUUUGGAGUUCUCUGGAAAGAGGAGAGAGACAACUUCUUAACAGUUUGAUUGGAUAGCUGGAGUUACUACACAGGCACAGAAAAAAAGACUGAAGAGAAAUAAGGUGGAAAAGUUAACUGUAUGGUGAAAUUUCAGGUGAUCUCCUUUUACUCUUUGCAAAAUUCUCUACAACAAGCAUGUAUUUUAAAAACCACUAAAAAUAAAUAAUGUUAAAAUAGGCACCCAAAACCUGAACACAGUAAAAUACUUUAAGUAUGUGCUUAUGUACAAAAAUCCCAAACAAAUCAAGGUUGUCAGAAAUCACAAAAGAUAAUUUAAUUCAAAUUAAAGAUGUGAGCUAUUAUCAUUUUCAGAUAUUUACAGAAUAGACUAGCAGGACUGAACUGUGUUUGUGAAUGAGACAUGAUAACUUUGUUUCCUGCUGUGACAGUUGUUUCUCUCUCUUUAACCAAGAUUAUAUUUCCAGAAUAUCUACUUCUCCAUUUCUCCUGCCUUUUAUUUUUCCAUGGUUGCAAUCUCCUGUAAUUAUGGGAAAAAUCUUUCCUGGAGCAGCAGCUCUGAGAUUAGCCAGUUUGGAGCCAACCUGAGUAUUCCCAAUUGGUGCUCAUUAUCUUCUUUGUAAGAACAGUUUUCAGGACAGAGUUAGCUCUGCUCUGAGACUUAAAACAGCUGGAAAAUGCAUGACUUGACAUGCAUUAGAUCUGACAGCAUGUGAAUCCACUGUUCAAAAGUACUUAAUACCUAUUUAAUUUUCUUUUUUUGGGGCAUUUUAUUUUCUUGUCCUUAAAUAAUCACCACAGUAAUCAAAAGCAUUUAUGAAUUACUGAAGUGGAACUCAAAAUACUUAAGAGCCAAUUGAUUGCUUGGAUAAACAAAUGCCAAAGUUCAGGAGAAGGUCAGAAAGUUGAGUGUUGUCUUUUAUUUUGAAGAGCUCAGUCUUUAAAUUGCACACAUUUGUCCUUGAACUGUCUGAAUUCAGCCUGAAAGGGCCGAAAUGAUCUCCAAAUUAAGUCCUCUUGUACCUUGUUGAUAUACAUCUAUUUAAGAAAACAUGAGAUCCCCAUUUUGUUAAUUUUUAAACACUAAUCUAUGCUUCAAGAUUUAAUAAACAGUCUUUGUUAAUGACCAUUUUAGUCAUUUAUUCAUUCAUUCAUUCUAACCUUUCUGGAUUACAUCAGAAAAUAAAACAAACAAAAAUGUCACUAUGGAGCUUAAAUUCUAGUCAGUGUAGAAUAAACAUAAUACAUAAGUAAAAUAUAUAGUAUGAUAGGUUCUAUGGAAAAAACAGAAUAGCAGAGGGGAGAUGAGGAGAAAACAGACAGCAACUUUAGAUGGGGCAAGGGGAGUGGGGAUCUGGGUCAAUCUCAUUAAGAGGGUGACUUUUAGGUAAAGACUUGGAAAGGGGAGCAGGUUAGUCAAAAGAAGGGAGUGAUCCAGGCAGGCAGAAUAAACGGU